AAUAGAUACCCUGGUAGUCCACGCCGUAAACGAUGAGUGCUAAGUGUUAGAGGGUUUCCGCCCUUUAGUGCUGCAGCUAACGCAUUAAGCACUCCGCCUGGGGAGUACGGUCGCAAGACUGAAACUCAAAGGAAUUGACGGGGGCCCGCACAAGCGGUGGAGCAUGUGGUUUAAUUCGAAGCAACGCGAAGAACCUUACCAGGUCUUGACAUCCUCUGACAACUCUAGAGAUAGAGCGUUCCCCUUCGGGGGACAGAGUGACAGGUGGUGCAUGGUUGUCGUCAGCUCGUGUCGUGAGAUGUUGGGUUAAGUCCCGCAACGAGCGCAACCCUUGAUCUUAGUUGCCAGCAUUCAGUUGGGCACUCUAAGGUGACUGCCGGUGACAAACCGGAGGAAGGUGGGGAUGACGUCAAAUCAUCAUGCCCCUUAUGACCUGGGCUACACACGUGCUACAAUGGAUGGUACAAAGGGCUGCGAGACCGCGAGGUCAAGCCAAUCCCAUAAAACCAUUCUCAGUUCGGAUUGGU
rnacentral:rRNA from 1 species